ensembl:lncRNA
AAAUAGACAGAUAAAUAGAGAGAGAGACAGAUAAAUAGAGAGAGACAGACAGAUAAAUAGAGAGAGAGACAGAUAAAUAGAGAGAGACAGACAGAUAAAUAGAGAGAGACAGACAGAUAAAUAGAGAGAAACAGACAGACAAAUAGAGAGAGAGACAGAUAUAGAGAGAGAGACAGACAGAUAAAUAGAGAGAAACAGACAUAGAGAGAGAGACAGAUAGAGAGAGACAGACAGAUAGAGAGACAGACAGACAGAUAAAUAGAGAGAGACAGACAGAUAAAUAGAGAGAGACAGACAGAUAGAGAGACAGACAGACAGAUAAAUAGAGAGAGACAGACAUAGAGAGAGAGACAGAUAGAGAGAGACAGACAGAUAGAGAGACAGACAGACAGAUAAAUAGAGAGAGACAGACAGAUAGAGAGACAGACAGACAGAUAAAUAGAGAGAGACAGACAGAUAAAUAGAGAGAGACAGACAGAUAGAGAGACAGACAGACAGAUAAAUAUAGAGACAGACAGAUAAAUAGAGAGAGACAGACAGACAGAUAGAUAGAGAGAGACAGACAAACAGACAGAUAGACAGAUAGAGGGGAGAGAGAGACAGGACAGGAAUGAUCACAGACAUCUUCCUGUUAAUGAAAUAUUGCGUCUAUUUUUAGACUCUUACCCACAAUCCUCUGCUGGUUCAUCAGAGUUCACCAGGAACAGUUGUGACCUGUUGCUCUCAGCAGGAACAGGAAGUGGAAUCAUGCUGGCAGGAAGCAGGUGACAGCAGCGCCUCACACCUGAGGCCCGUCAGCUCGUUCAGCUCUGAUUGGACGCAGGUGGCUAGAAAAGGCGCGUGGGCGGCGCCGGUGAGCAGGUGUCUGCUGGUGCCGGCCCAGGAUGGCUUGUGGAGUUCAUUUGGGGUUUUUGCUCGUUUGUUUGAUUCACGCCGCGUCUGUGAGCUGUCUGUUGGGAACGCAAGCUAAGCUCUUCCCGAGGCAGGAUGGCGGCGCCGGAGGACCGCAGGGGGCGCCGCAGCCCCAGAAUCAACUCAGACAGGUGGUGCGACCCGUCGGCGGCCCGAGUCGGACCGGAGGCGGCUACAGGCGAGCUCUCCCCCAGGUGCCUCAAAAUGGCCGCCCUUUAAAACCAGUGGUGCAGAGCAGGCCGCCGCCGCCACCGGGCUUCAGCUGGCAGGCUGGGAUGUACCCUUCCACCAGAACCGGACAGAAACCAGCGGACUCCAGCAGACAGGCCUCCCCCCAAACCCCCAGGAAGAGGCCCUCGUCCCCGCUGACGUCUUCGGCCCUGUUCAUUGACGGCGAGUACGUCCAGAUGCAAACGUCGGCUAAAGGCCGUGGCAGGAAGGUGAGCGCCGGCAAACCGCAGCGCUUCAUGUCGACCCAGGGUCGGUGGCUCCAGGGACGCUACAAGUCCAUAUCGGGGGACAGCGAGUCGCCGCGGGACCUCCACUCCGGCACGAUGAGCCGGAACAGUAAGUUCUUCAAAAGCACAAACGCUGUCCCGGCACCCAGCGGCGGGAAGGGAGCCCAGAACCCCGGUGCCUCCAAGAAGAGGCCCUCCGGAAACCCCAGCGUCCAGUACGCCCCGACCAGGGUCUUGGAAAUCCCGGAUCACUUGGGAGGCUUCGCCAUCAGACGCCUGACAAAGCCUGGCAAGAGGAAACCGCAGCAGGCCGUGCAUUUGCAGGAAAGGCUGUCUCCCAGAAUGCAUCGGGGCGGUCGUCCAGGGAGCAGCCUGACGAAGUGGAAUUAG